AUUCUCAGGGCGGGGUGCAAUUCCCCACCGGCGGUAUAGCCCGCGAGCGCUCCCGCGAAACCGACGUUUCGCUAGAGGUCAGCAGAUCCGGUGUAACUCCGGGGCCGACGGUAUAGUCCGGAUGAAAGAGAAU
rnacentral:ncRNA from 1 species